rnacentral:rRNA from 1 species
CGAGCGGCGAACGGGUGAGUAACACGUGGGUGACCUGCCCUCCACUCUGGGAUAAGCCCGGGAAACUGGGUCUAAUACCGGAUAGGACCACUCAACGCAUGUUGGGUGGUGGAAAGUUUUUUCGGUGGGGGAUGGGCCCGCGGCCUAUCAGCUUGUUGGUGGGGUGAUGGCCUACCAAGGCGGUGACGGGUAGCCGGCCUGAGAGGGCGACCGGCCACACUGGGACUGAGACACGGCCCAGACUCCUACGGGAGGCAGCAGUGGGGAAUAUUGCGCAAUGGGCGGAAGCCUGACGCAGCGACGCCGCGUGGGGGAUGACGGCCUUCGGGUUGUAAACCUCUUUCGCCAGGGACGAAGCUAACGUGACGGUACCUGGAGAAGAAGCACCGGCCAACUACGUGCCAGCAGCCGCGGUAACACGUAGGGUGCGAGCGUUGUCCGGAAUUAUUGGGCGUAAAGAGCUCGUAGGCGGUGUGUCGCGUCGGCCGUGAAAACUUGGGGCUUAACUCUGAGCGUGCGGUCGAUACGGGCAUCACUUGAGUUCGGCAGGGGAGACUGGAAUUCCUGGUGUAGCGGUGAAAUGCGCAGAUAUCAGGAGGAACACCGGUGGCGAAGGCGGGUCUCUGGGCCGAUACUGACGCUGAGGAGCGAAAGCGUGGGGAGCGAACAGGAUUAGAUACCCUGGUAGUCCACGCCGUAAACGUUGGG